CGGAUGGAAGUGCUAGUCUAAGGUCGUAGGAGGUUAUACAGGCAAAUCCGUAUAACAAUACUCCGAGAACUGAAAGGCUUUUUGAAGUCUUCGGAUGGAUAGAAGAACCCCUGAUGCCGUCGAGCCAAGAAAAGUUUCUAAGUUUAGCUAAUGUUGCCCGUACCGUAAACCGACACAGGUGGGUGGGAUGAGUAUUCUAAGGCGCGUGGAAGAACUCUCUUUAAGGAACUCUGCAAAAUAGCACCGUAUCUUCGGUAUAAGGUGUGGUUAGCUUUGUAUUAGGAUUUACUCCGAAAGCAAGGAAACUUACAACAAAGAGUCCCUCCCGACUGUUUACCAAAAACACAGCACUCUGCUAACUCGUAAGAGGAUGUAUAGGGUGUGACGCCUGCCCGGUGCUCGAAGGUUAAUUGAUGGGGUUAGCAUUAGCGAAGCUCUUGAUCGAAGCCCGAGUAAACGGCGGCCGUAACUAUAACGGUCCUAAGGUAGCGAAAUUCCUUGUCGGUUAAAUACCGACCUGCAUGAAUGGCGUAACGAGAUGGGAGCUGUCUCAAAGAGGGAUCCAGUGAAAUUGUAGUGGAGGUGAAAAUUCCUCCUACCCGCGGCAAGACGGAAAGACCCCGUGGACCUUUACUACAGCUUGACACUGCUACUUGGAUAAGAAUGUGCAGGAUAGGUGGGAGGCUUUGAGUAUAUGACGCCAGUUGUAUAUGAGCCAUUGUUGAGAUACCACUCUUUCUUAUUUGGGUAGCUAACCAGCUUGAGUUAUCCUCAAGUGGGACAAUGUCUGGUGGGUAGUUUGACUGGGGCGGUCGCCUCCCAAAUAAUAACGGAGGCUUACAAAGGUUGGCUCAGAACGGUUGGAAAUCGUUCGUAGAGUAUAAAGGUAUAAGCCAGCUUAACUGCAAGACAUACAAGUCAAGCAGAGACGAAAGUCGGUCUUAGUGAUCCGGUGGUUCUGUGUGGAAGGGCCAUCGCUCAAAGGAUAAAAGGUACCCCGGGGAUAACAGGCUGAUCUCCCCCAAGAGCUCACAUCGACGGGGAGGUUUGGCACCUCGAUGUCGGCUCAUCGCAUCCUGGGGCUGGAGCAGG
rnacentral:rRNA from 1 species